CCCCCAGGUGCUUAGAAGUGGAUCAUGCCUAAGUAGAGUCUUCAUAUGAGAAUCCAGUCCUGGCUGAAACCUUGACAGCUGGCUGCAGAGGACCCAGCUAAGCUGUGCCCGGACCUUCGACCACAGAUACCGUGAGAUAAUAAGUGCAGGAACUAGAGGCUCGGAAGGCAACUGACGUCUGGAAGUGGCUAACGAACAGCUGAGCUGAGUGCAAACCCGUCUCCUGACUCCUAAAUCCUGGGCGUCUCUGCUUGGAAGACGAUCACUGAGCGGCCGCAGGAGAUGUGCCAACAGACAGCUCUCAUAUUUACUGACCCCUUCUGCUGUGCGUUACGAAUUCUCCAGCCAGUUUUGACCAUCCUGCUGCUGACUUAACUUUCAACCUCAUCCAAGCCUGCACCCAGCCGUGGGCAGGUGCCCCUUUCUGGGCCUCACCUGCCCUCCCCUCUGCCGCAGGUCAGGAGCUGGGGUCGCUGUGCUGCCUCUUCACCCUUACAACUGACGUGCCAUCCCAGCAAAGUGUGAAACCCACCUGUACCACCCUCUGAAUCACA